rnacentral:rRNA from 1 species
AUUGAACGCUGGCGGCAGGCUUAACACAUGCAAGUCGAGCGGAGAUGAGGUGCUUGCACCUUAUCUUAGCGGCGGACGGGUGAGUAAUGCUUAGGAAUCUGCCUAUUAGUGGGGGACAACAUUCCGAAAGGAAUGCUAAUACCGCAUACGUCCUACGGGAGAAAGUGGGGGAUCUUCGGACCUCACGCUAUCAGAUGAGCCUAGGUCGGAUUAGCUAGUUGGUGAGGUAAAGGCUCACCAAGGCGACGAUCCGUAACUGGUCUGAGAGGAUGAUCAGUCACACUGGAACUGAGACACGGUCCAGACUCCUACGGGUGGCAGCAGUGGGGAAUAUUGGACAAUGGGCGUAAGCCUGAUCCAGCCAUGCCGCGUGUGUGAAGAAGGCCUUUUGGUUGUAAAGCACUUUAAGCGAGGAGGAGGCUACCUGGAUUAAUACUCUAGGAUAGUGGACGUUACUCGCAGAAUAAGCACCGGCUAACUCUGUGCCAGCCGCCGCAGUAAAAC